AGUAGACUUCAUCCCCUCCUGGCUGCUCAGAUAAUGCUGCAUCUUUCCAGGAAUAGAGAUCUAGGACUGGGCUGCUCAUUUGCAUGCAGCAGAGGCCAGCAGUAAUGUGAUUAUGAAGCUCUAACAAAAUCAGCCGUAAAUUUCUUCAGCAGUAGUAAAGCAGCUUCCUUUUCUUUACUGAAUUCCCACAUCAACUGGGUAUACAGCAACAUUAGAAGCUUCGCAAGCUCAUCGCGUGCCAGAAAAUGGGAACUCUCAUUGCAACAGCACUCCUGAGCAAGUGAACACUCAGGUUAUUACCACAUUGCUAUUUACAGGCUUCCUUCUGUACCUGAAUCCAUCACUUCUAUGCAUGGAAAGAAAAAAAAAGAAGAAAAGCAGAAGGCAAGCAGCAAAAUGUCACUGCAACAUCAAAAUAGACUCUGCUGAAAGCUUUUAAUGUCUCUACAGAGAGAUGCCCUGGAAAAGAUGCUAAAGAAACCACCAGCUAGGCUGGAAAAAAUGUGGUUUGGAAGCAAGGAAGAGAAUGAUUUUACAGCAAAGGACAUGAAGACUGCUGAAGAGAAAAACAAACAGGUUAGGGAAAAGGAACUACGCAGGACACCACAACACACUGCAUCUUAUCCAGCAACGGACCACCAAACUACAGGUAAACAGACUGAAAAGGACUGCCCAAGUUUUCAAAGUCAAGAAAGCACAGAUGUCCCUCAGUCGUCACCUUUACAUGGUGAGAUAAGCGUACCGCUGCAGGAAAUAACUGCAGAAGAAACCACCAAUUAUUACACUGAGGACUUUACCAUUGAGUCUGAUAUAACUUACAACUGUAUCGAUGAAACAAUCUGGAUCUAAGCCAUCCUGCAAAGAAGGAGCCUCUCUGCUCCCUGCUGCUGUUUACCUCGGGGCUUAAGUAGAUGAUUUAUCCUGAGCUGAUGGUUGUGGUUACCUGUUACACCUUGGAAAACUCUAAUUUCACAUUUUUACACACUAGUUGGAGGAAACAAAAUAAAUAA
rnacentral:lncRNA from 1 species